ACGCUCGACACCUACGGGAGGUAGCAGUGGGGAAGUAUUGCACAAUGGGGGAAACCCGUGAUGCAGCGACGCCGCGUGAGUGAAGAAGUAUUUCGGUAUGUAAAGCUCUAUCAGCAGGGAAGAAGAUGACGGUACCUGAGUAAGAAGCCCCGGCUAACUACGUGCCAGCAGCCGCGGUAAUCUGAGGCGGCUGGCAAGGC
rnacentral:rRNA from 1 species